rnacentral:rRNA from 1 species
UACAGAGGUCUCAAGCGUUGUUCGGAUUCAUUGGGCGUAAAGGGUGCGUAGGCGGCGCGGUAAGUCGGAUGUGAAAUCUCGGAGCUUAACUUCGAAACUGCAUUCGAUACUGCCGUGCUUGAGGACUGGAGAGGAGACUGGAAUUUACGGUGUAGCAGUGAAAUGCGUAGAGAUCAUGAGGAAGACCAGUGGCGAAGGCGGGUCUCUGGACAGUUCCUGACACUGAGACACGAAGGCCAGGGGAGCAAACGGG